rnacentral:rRNA from 1 species
AUUGAACGCUGGCGGCAGGCCUAACACAUGCAAGUCGGACGAGUGGCGAACGGGUGAGUAACGCAUGGGAACCUACCGGAUGAAGGGGGAUAACUGUCCGAAACGGUAGCUAAUACCGCAUACCAUUCGAGCGGCCCAGGUCGGAUUAGCUGGUUGGGGGGGUAACGGCUCACCAAGGCGACGAUCAUUAGCGGGUCUGAGAGGAUGACCAGCCACACUGGAACUGAGACACGGCCCAGACUCCUACGUGAGGCAGCAGUGGGGAAUAUUGGACAAUGGGCGCAAGCCUGAUGCAGCCAUGCCGCGUGUCUGAAGAAGGCCUUCGGGUUGUAAAGUACUUUCGGCGGGGAGGCGGUACCUGCAGAAGAAGCACCGGCUAACUCCGUGCCAGCAGCCGCGGUAAUAC